UACGUAGGGAGCAAGCGUUGUCCGGAAUCAUUGGGCGUAAAGCGCGCGUAGGCGGCCCGAUAAGUCCGUUGUGAAAGUCAAAGGCUCAACCUUUGAAUGCCGAUGGAUACUGUCGGGCUAGAGUCCGGAAGAGGCGAGUGGAAUUCCUGGUGUAGCGGUGGAAUGCGCAGAUAUCAGGAGGAACACCAAUAGCGAAGGCGGCACUCUGGGCCGGUACUGACGCUGAGGAGCGAAAGCGUGGGGAGCGAACAGG
rnacentral:rRNA from 1 species